rnacentral:misc_RNA from 1 species
GAUGAAGAACGUAGUGAAAUGCGAUACGUAAUGUGAAUUGCAAAUUCAGUGAAUCAUCGAGUCUUUGAACGCACAUUGCGCCCCCUGGUAUUCCGGGGGGCAUGCCUGUCCGAGCGUCAUUGCUGCCCUCAAGCACGGCUUGUGUGUUGGGCCCCGUCCUCCGAUCCCGGGGGACGGGCCCGAAAGGCAGCGGCGGCACCGCGUCCGGUCCUCGAGCGUAUGGGGCUUUGUCACCCGCUCUGUAGGCCCGGCCGGCGCUUGCCGAUCAACCCAAAUUUUUUAUCCAGGUUGACCUCGGAUCAGGUAGGGAUACCCGCUGAACUUAAGCAUAUCAAUAAGCGGAGA